rfam:Tessaracoccus flavus strain RP1T, complete genome.
ACCAUAUCUCUGGGGUAGGGUGAGGCUCACUGAGUGGACGAAUCCGGUGAGAUCCCGGAACUGUCGCGCAACCGUGAUCCCGAUGCUGUCGGGGAGUCGGACCGCCGCUCGGUGAAAGGUAAC